GACGAACGCUGGCGGCGUGCUUAACACAUGCAAGUCGAACGGAAAGGCCCUGCUUUUGUGGGGUGCUCGAGUGGCGAACGGGUGAGUAACACGUGAGUAACCUGCCCUUGACUUUGGGAUAACUUCAGGAAACUGGGGCUAAUACCGGAUAGGAGCUCCUGCUGCAUGGUGGGGGUUGGAAAGUUUCGGCGGUUGGGGAUGGACUCGCGGCUUAUCAGCUUGUUGGUGGGGUAGUGGCUUACCAAGGCUUUGACGGGUAGCCGGCCUGAGAGGGUGACCGGCCACAUUGGGACUGAGAUACGGCCCAGACUCCUACGGGAGGCAGCAGUGGGGAAUAUUGCACAAUGGGCGGAAGCCUGAUGCAGCAACGCCGCGUGCGGGAUGACGGCCUUCGGGUUGUAAACCGCUUUCGCCUGUGACGAAGCGUGAGUGACGGUAAUGGGUAAAGAAGCACCGGCUAACUACGUGCCAGCAGCCGCGGUGAUACGUAGGGUGCGAGCGUUGUCCGGAUUUAUUGGGCGUAAAGGGCUCGUAGGUGGUUGAUCGCGUCGGAAGUGUAAUCUUGGGGCUUAACCCUGAGCGUGCUUUCGAUACGGGUUGACUUGAGGAAGGUAGGGGAGAAUGGAAUUCCUGGUGGAGCGGUGGAAUGCGCAGAUAUCAGGAGGAACACCAGUGGCGAAGGCGGUUCUCUGGGCCUUUCCUGACGCUGAGGAGCGAAAGCGUGGGGAGCGAACAGGCUUAGAUACCCUGGUAGUCCACGCUGUAAACGGUGGGUACUAGGUGUGGGGUCCAUUCCACGGGUUCCGUGCCGUAGCUAACGCUUUAAGUACCCCGCCUGGGGAGUACGGCCGCAAGGCUAAAACUCAAAGGAAUUGACGGGGCCCCGCACUAGCGGCGGAGCAUGCGGAUUAAUUCGAUGCAACGCGUAGAACCUUACCUGGGUUUGACAUGGAUCGGGAGCGCUCAGAGAUGGGUGUGCCUCUUUUGGGGUCGGUUCACAGGUGGUGCAUGGCUGUCGUCAGCUCGUGUCGUGAGAUGUUGGGUUAAGUCCCGCAACGAGCGCAACCCUUGUUCACUGUUGCCAGCACGUUAUGGUGGGGACUCAGUGGAGACCGCCGGGGUCAACUCGGAGGAAGGUGGGGAUGACGUCAAGUCAUCAUGCCCCUUAUGUCCAGGGCUUCACGCAUGCUACAAUGGCUGGUACAGAGAGUGGCGAGCCUGUGAGGGUGAGCGAAUCUCGGAAAGCCGGUCUCAGUUCGGAUUGGGGUCUGCAACUCGACCUCAUGAAGUCGGAGUCGCUAGUAAUCGCAGAUCAGCAACGCUGCGGUGAAUACGUUCCCGGG
rnacentral:rRNA from 1 species